rnacentral:rRNA from 1 species
GACGAACGCUGGCGGCGUGCUUAACACAUGCAAGUCGAACGGGCUCUGUCUGGCUGUGUGCUGGGUGGGGUUAGUGGCGACCGGGUGAGUAAUACGUGAGUAACCUGCCCUCUUCUUCGGGAUAAGCCUUGGAAACGGGGUCUAAUACUGGAUAUUCCUGUCUGGUCGCAUGGCUGGGUGGGGAAAGUUUUUUUCGGUGGGGGAUGGGCUCGCGGCCUAUCAGCUUGUUGGUGGGGUGAUGGCCUACCAAGGCGUCGACGGGUAGCCGGCCUGAGAGGGUGACCGGCCACACUGGGACUGAGAUACGGCCCAGACUGCUACGGGAGGCAGCAGUGGGGGAUAUUGCACAAUGGGCGCAAGCCUGAUGCAGCGACGCCGCGUGGGGGAUGACGGCUUUCGGGUUGUAAACCUCUUUCGUGGGGGGACAAGGCUCUGCUUGGUGGUGGGGUUGAGGGUACCCGGUGAAGAAGCGCCGGCUAACUACGUG